rnacentral:lncRNA from 1 species
GAAAAUGGCGGAUGAGGCCGGGCGCGGUGGCUCACGCCUGUGGUCCCAGCACUUUGGGAGGCCGAGGCGGGCGGAUCACAAGGUCAGGAAAUCGAGACCAUCCUGGCGAACACUGUGAAACCCCGUCUCUUCUAAAAAUACAAAAAAAAAUUAGCCAGGCGUGGUGGCGGGCGCUUGUAGUCCCAGCUACUCAGGAUGCUGAGGCAGGAGAAUGGCGUGAACCCGGGAGGCGCAGCUUGCAGCGAGCCAAGAUGGCGCCGCUGCACUCCAGCCUGGGCAGCAGAGCGAGACUCCAUCUCAAAAAAAAAAAAAAAAAAAAAGAAAAGAAAAGAAACUGGCGGACAAAGGAAGAGAUCCUCCUUCAGGCAGGGUAGGGAAGAAGGGCACUCGGUGACCAGAGACCUUUUCCAGGACCAUGUCUUUGAAGCAAAUCUCAGCUCUUGUCUUCCGGAAGCGAUGGAGACAGAAUCCAGAAGCCUGAGACUCUCUCCUUUCCUGGCUUUGAUGAAGCAAGCUGCCACACUGGAGAGGCCUACAUGAUAAGGACCUGAAGGUGGCCUCCAGCUAGCUCCAGCCAACAGUUGGCAAGGAAUUGAGGACCUGAGUCCAAUAGACCUUGAGGAACUGAAUCCUGCAACAGCUACACAAGUGAGCAUGGCAGUGUAUCCUUCCCCAGUAAAGCCUUCAGAUGAGACCCCAGCCCCAGCUGACACCUUGAUUGAAGCCUUGUGAGAGACCCUGAAGCAGAGAAACCAGCUAGGCCUUGCCUGGAUUCCUGAUCCACAAACUGCUUUUGUGAUGCCCUAUAAUUACAUGAACUCUACUAAAAAGAGGGAUACUGGAAAGAAGAAUAAUGUUGAGACACCUUUGCAGAAGAAAAAACAACUUCCUCUCUUCCUCUACUUCACUCUGGCAAGUUCUCCAACCUGACAAGCCAGUAGGGAGUGCCGGAAUGUCAUGGCUGAGAAAAGAGAUGUUAACAGGCUGUAUGAUGUUGGCCACAGAGUGCCCCCCUAAAGAGGCCUCAGAAGAAUGAAGGGAGUGCCGGAAUGUCAUGGCUGAGAAAAGAGAUGUUAACAGGCUGUAUGAUGUUGGCCACAGAGUGCCCCCCUAAAGAGGCCUCAGAAGAAUGAAGGGCAACAUGACCUACGACGCUUUGGAUCUCCAUGGCAAGCAUUGACACUGGCAAAAAUUAUCUAAUAAACACUUAUAUUGAAUGAGUAAACGUUAGAGAGACAUGGAAGCAAGUAUGAAAGACCUCGCCAGGACUUUAGAUGGACUGAACUGAUCAUAAAAGAAACUUCAGUUCUUGGCCGGGCGCAGUGGCUCACGCCUGUAAUCCCAGCACUUUGGGAGGCUGAGGUGG